rnacentral:rRNA from 1 species
AUGUGCCAAUAUAAGUUGAAAGAUAUCAUUAUUGAUGAGGCCAUACUAAUCUUAGGGGUGGAAAAGGAGCUCACUGAAGUGCUGCGAAGAGUAGAACUAAUACGGUGUUGCAUACAUGAUGCUGAGAAAAGGAGGACAAAAGAGCAAGCAGUAAACAAUUGGCUUGGUCAACUGAGAGAUCUUAUAUAUGAUGUUGAUGAAAUCUUGGAUGUGGCUAGAUGUAAAGGAAGCAACCUACUUGCUGAUGACCCUUCACCAUCAUCUGGCAAAUCAGUUGCAUGUAAAGGCCUUUCAGUUUCCUCUUGUUUUUGCAACAUCGGGCCACAUCAUGAUGUUGUUGUUCGGAUUACAAGCCUCAACAAGAAGAUACAGAACAUUUUGCAUGACAACUGGUGUUCUUGCUUCAAUAAAGAAAUACUGAGAGGGAGCUCAGUUUCUCUCAAUACAGAACAUGUACAAGCAGGACGACGCGGCGGGCUUGAUCAGCUUAAGCUAUCCAUUCAUUGGCACGGACGAAUGCUAUUUGCUAGUUAA